GCGCCAGUAGCUCAGCUGGAUAGAGCGCCGGACUACGAAUCCGUAGGUCGGGGGUUCGAAUCCCUCCUGGCGUA
rnacentral:tRNA from 1 species